rnacentral:rRNA from 1 species
GUGAGGAAUAUUGGUCAAUGGGCGAGAGCCUGAACCAGCCAAGUCGCGUGAAGGAAGAAGGAUCUAUGGUUCGUAAACUUCUUUUGCAGGGGAAUAAAGUGCAGGACGUGUCCUGUUUUGUAUGUACCCUGAGAAUAAGGAUCGGCUAACUCCGUGCCAGCAGCCGCGGUAAUACGGAGGAUCCGAGCGUUAUCCGGAUUUAUUGGGUUUAAAGGGGGCGUAGGUGGUUUGAUAAGUCAGCGGUGAAAGUUUGCAGCUUAACUGUAAAAAUGCCCUUGAAACUGUCGGACUUGAGUGUAAAUGAGGUAGGCGGAAUGCGUGGUGUAGCGGUGAAAUGCAUAGAUAUCACGCAGAACUCCGAUUGCGAAGGCAGCUUACUAAGCUACAACUGACACUGAAGCACGAAAGCGUGGGGAUCAAACAGGAUUAGAAACCCUAGUAGUCC